rnacentral:rRNA from 1 species
UACGGGAGGCAGCAGUGGGGAAUAUUGGACAAUGGCCGCAAGCCUGAUCCAGCCAUGCCGCGUGUGUGAAGAAGGCCUUUUGGUUGUAAAGCACUUUAAGCGAGGAGGAGGCUACUUGGAUUAAUACUCUAGGAUAGUGGACGUUACUCGCAGAAUAAGCACCGGCUAACUCUGUGCCAGCAGCCGCGGUAAUA